UUACCAGCCAGGCUCCUGGCUAAUUCCAGCUUUUAGCUGGAAUUAUCCAGAAUUAUCCAAAGCCUGGCUGGAAA
rfam:Neotoma lepida isolate 417 scaffold_7254, whole genome shotgun sequence.